rnacentral:tRNA from 1 species
GUGAGCGUAGCUCAGCUGGCAGAGCCCCGGACUGUGGCUCCGGUUGUCGCGGGUUCGACCCCCGUCGCUCACCCCA